UACGUAGGGGGCAAGCGUUGUCCGGAAUCAUUGAGCGUAAAGCGCGCGUAGGUGGCUUCGUAAGUCCGUUGUGAAAGUCAAAGGCUCAACCUUUGAAAGCCGAUGGAUACUGUGAAGCUAGAGUACGGAAGAGGCGAGUGGAAUUCCUGGUGUAGCGGUGGAAUGCGCAGAUAUCAGGAGGAACACCGGUGGCGAAGGCGGGUCUCUGGGCCGACAUUGACGCUGAGGAGCGAAAGCGUGGAGAGCGAACAGG
rnacentral:rRNA from 1 species